AUCAAUCUAAAAAAAAAAAAAAACCAACCUCUAGCUUUCGUUCCAUAUACUUGUAUCUCUACACUGCCUCUCUCUUCAUCCCUUUACUCUCUAAUCCUCUGUCUCUUCUCUACUCCACAACUUUCCACUAUUGCCAUUGCGCCACCGUGACCACUAGUGAGCCACCUGCAUCAUCUUCACCUACGUACUUCUGCUACCUGGGCUGCUACUUUUGCCAAAGUUGAAACCCCAUCAGUGAAAUAGGAAGGUGGAGAUGCCUCAUUCUCCAGUGAUGAGGUGUUCCCCUGUGAGGGAGAUCCGAGGGGAUAAUCACAGAAGAGGGCGCAGUCUCGAGGGCGGGAUACUCCUUAGGGAGAAAAAUGACGAUCUUGCUCUGUUCAAUGAGAUGGAGACCAGAGAAAGAGACAGUUUCUUACUUCCAUCAAAUGAUGAUUUUGAAGAUACAUUCAAUACUUAUCAGAUUACAAGCUUGGAAUGAAUCACAAAACAAGAAAGGAAGACAAGUCUAUCUUGGUGCCUAUGAUGAUGAAGAAGCUGCUGCUUAUGCUUAUUUAUGAUUUGGCUGCAUUGAAAUAUUGGGGUCCAUAAACCAUUCUCAACUUUCCGGAAAAGCAGUGCUUUUUCUCGAGGAGUGUCAAAAUAUAGAGGAGUUGCAAGACAUCAUCAUAAUGGAAGAUGGGAAGCAAGGAUUGGCAUACUUUUUGGCAACAAAUACCUCUAUCUUGGGACAUAUGAUAAUUCCUAUUAUUAUUAUUUGAUGAUGAUGAUAAAUGAUGAUGAAACUCCUUCACCUUCCAAAAACCCUGAACAACUUUGGACCUUCGAAAAACUUUAAUGAACUUCGACCCUUUCUGGCGGUAAUGACUUUGGCUCUUGGGCAAGGCCUUUAUCUUUCUCUUUUACAAAUGGCUACAUGUCAAAGACCAACAGGUGCCAUGUGUUGAAUGAAUUAUUAAUGUGAUUUAUAUCUAAGGUACAAACACAAAUGCAUUGACAAUUUUAUAUUUAAAUUUUGAGCAUUGCUACUCAAGAAAAAAAAUUAGAUUCAUUUUUUAAGUUCAAUGAUGUGGCAAUUAAUUAGGAUAUUAAAUGUUACA